rnacentral:misc_RNA from 1 species
UCCGAUUUGUCACCGGCAGUCUCCCAUGAGUCCCCGACGUUACUCGCUGGCAACAUGGGACAGGGGCUGCGCUCGUUGCGGGACUUAACCCAACAUCUCACGACACGAGCUGACGACAGCCAUGCAGCACCUGUGUUCCUCCCACCCGAAGUGAAGGAUCUCAUCUCUGUGAUCCAUAGAGGACAUGUCAAGGCCUGGUAAGGUUCUUCGCGUUGCCUCGAAUUAAACCACAUGCUCCACCGCUUGUGCGGGUCCCCGUCAAUUUCUUUGAGUUUUAACCUUGCGGCCGUACUCCCCAGGCGGAAUGCUUAAUGCGUUAGCGACGUCACUGAGAGGGAACCCCCCAACAACUAGCAUUCAUCGUUUACAGCGUGGACUAC